UACGUAGGGUGCAAGCGUUGUCCGGAAUUAUUGGGCGUAAAGAGCUCGUAGGCGGUUCGUCGCGUCGGCUGUGAAAACCCGGAGCUCAACUCCGGGCCUGCAGUCGAUACGGGCGGACUGGAGUUCGGCAGGGGAGACUGGAAUUCCUGGUGUAGCGGUGAAAUGCGCAGAUAUCAGGAGGAACACCGGUGGCGAAGGCGGGUCUCUGGGCCGAUACUGACGCUGAGGAGCGAAAGCGUGGGGAGCAAACAGG
rnacentral:rRNA from 1 species